ensembl:ncRNA T06F4.7 ncRNA
CUUUUGCGGUGAAACGUAUGAAAUUUGAGUUUCGAGUCGAAGAAGAAUUUUCAAACAGACACACUGAAAAUCUUAUGAAGUUCCGGAGAGAAACAAAAACUGAAAGAUGGAUUUUUAAAAGUUUUUU